rnacentral:rRNA from 1 species
AGAGUUUGAUCAUGGCUCAGAAUCAACGCUGGCGGCGUGCCUCAGACAUGCAAGUCGAACGAUUAAAGCUCCCUUCGGGGAGUGCAUAAAGUGGCGCACGGGUGAGUAACACGUAAGUAAUCUACCUUCGAGUGGGGAAUAACAGUCGGAAACGGCUGCUAAUACCGCAUAAUGCAGCGGCAUCGCAAGAUGACAGUUGUUAAAGAUUUAUCGCUUGAAGAGGAGCUUGCGGCAGAUUAGCUAGUUGGUAAGGUAAUGGCUUACCAAGGCUACGAUCUGUAACCGGUCUAAGAGGACGGUCGGUCACACUGACACUGAAUAACGGGUCAGACUCCUACGGGAGGCAGCAGUCGGGAAUUUUGGGCAAUGGGGGAAACCCUGACCCAGCAACGCCGCGUGAAGGAUGAAGUAUUUCGGUAUGUAAACUUCGAAGAAUAGGAAGAAUUAAUGACGGUACUAUUUAUAAGGUCCGGCUAACUACGUGCCAGCAGCCGCGUAAU